UAGCGGAGGGAACAGAACACCAUGAAGAAACACCCAGUCAUACUGCUGCAGAGAAACCUACAGAGAGUAGGCCUGGGGAGGAUGCUGUGUCUGCUGAAGAGUCUCACUCUGUGAAGCUACAGCAGGAGGCCCAGGAAACACAACCAGAGAGGGACAAGGAUUACACCCCUGUUGUAGAGAGUCCCACCCAUGACCUUCCUUUUGACCCUGCCCCUGACUCUACCCCUGCCCUUGACUCCACCUCUGCUAGUGUUGCUCCUCUGAGCUCUCUGUUAGAAGUCCCCGUCCCCACAGGGCUUGACUCAGAUACACACAGCCAAUCCAGAAGCCUCCCUGGGAACCCAGCCCCUCCCAUCUCUGACCCUGAUUCGUUCUCCGACUCCUACACCCACAUUAGCUCCUCCCCCGACCUUGAAGAGCCCCCAGCCUUGCUGCUCAACACUGAGCCACCGGAAGAGGUGGGGCUUGUACAGGAAGCGGAGGGGUAUAUACAGGAUGUGCAUCAUCAUUAUGAGGAGGGGCUUGUGCAGGAAGAGGAGGAGUCUGAUCUGUCUGAGGUCAGGGCCAAGACAGACUCCCAUCUGGAAGGGGAAGUGGUGGG